GCUUUCGCGGUAUGGGAUGGGGUCGCGUCCUAUCAGCUUGACGGGGGGGUAACGGCCCACCGUGGCUUCAACGGGUAGCCGGCCUGAGAGGGCGACCGGCCACAUUGGGACUGAGAUACGGCCCAGACUCCUAUGGGAGGCAGCAGUGGGGAAUAUUGCACAAUGGGCGCAAGCCUGAUGCAGCGACGCCGCGUGAGGGAUGGAGGCCU
rnacentral:rRNA from 1 species